UACGGAGGGAGCUAGCGUUGUUCGGAAUUACUGGGCGUAAAGCGCGCGUAGGCGGCUGCUCAAGUCAGAGGUGAAAGCCCGGGGCUCAACCCCGGAACUGCCUUUGAAACUAGGUAGCUAGAAUCUUGGAGAGGUCAGUGGAAUUCCGAGUGUAGAGGUGAAAUUCGUAGAUAUUCGGAAGAACACCCAGUGGCGAAGGCGACUGACUGGACAAGUAUUGACGCUGAGGUGCGAAAGCGUGGGGGAGCAAACAGGG
rnacentral:rRNA from 1 species